UACGUAGGGGGCAAGCGUUGUCCGGAUUUAUUGGGCGUAAAGAGCGUGUAGGCGGCUUUACAGGUCCGUUGUGAAAACUCGAGGCUCAACCUCGAGACGCCGGUGGAAACCGUAAAGCUAGAGUCCGGAAGAGGAGAGUGGAAUUCCUGGUGUAGCGGUGAAAUGCGCAGAUAUCGGGAGGAACACCAAUGGCGAAGGCAGCUCGCUGGGACGUGACUGACGCUGAGACACGAAAGCGUGGGGAGCAAACAGG
rnacentral:rRNA from 1 species